UCAUCAAAAAGAGAAAAUGGUAACAUAAAAUUACACGACCCAUUUAAGCCUGCCACUAAAGUUUAACUUUAUAAUGUUGUAUGGCUCACUGCUUUUUCACGAUAUCAUAGAAAUAAAUACACUGCGUGCCGAGUUAAGGGAAUAAUAUAAAUUUGCCGUAAGAUGACCGGGAGAGUCUGAAAGCAUGAGUGUCACGGCACAUUGCGUGAGAGUUGGCAGCCCUUUAGGUGGGUAAUUGGCGCAUACCAGCAUGUAUGACCUACUGAACAAGAAGAAGUGAGGCUUCAGGUCUGGAGACAGGAAAAAUAUCAUGUGGGUAUAGGUGGGGCUGAAGAAGCAGAUCAGCGAGGGGCAAGACUCGUUCCAGGAAGAAACCUGAGUGUAAGCUGCAACAGAACAGCCUGAAGGAGGUGUGGAAUUGGAUGAGAACUGACACAAGGUACAAGCAGCCUGGAAAUUUUGUAGUGGAAAGGAACAAGGAUAGGGAUAAUGAACUAAAACCUGCUAAACAGAUCUGACUCCAGCUUGCCAGCCCAGCCCUCCCCCAACACUGCCAGCUUCACUGUGACAACUGCUCCUGCCCCUCUAGUACUUUUACACCUCCCUGCAACUUCCCCACUGAAGACACCAUGACCAUCCCCCCCCCCUCCAGCCACCCGACCUCACAGACUAUUUGGUUUGCUGAGCACAUGAGGAAAAUGCUGAGGAAACUAUGCAGAGAAGGUGCCCUGGCUCCGUGUACUUCUGCUGCCAAAAAAGGGGCAUCGCAGCUACCUUGAAGACUUUUGAGAGACUGGCCCUAAAACACUACUGAUCAUAGGUCACAGACAACCAGGACCCCCUGGAGUUUGUCUAUGAAGGACGUUUUUCCAGUCCGCAGUGGCCAGUGUACUUCUGGUUUACUGGAGAAAUGUUGCCAGACACCUGAACCAAGUCAUAUGAAAAGUUAUCUCCAUCACAGGACAUAAUGUAGUGUUUGGUGCAGGGAGUAGGAUGAUGGGAAAACUUGACAUCAUGAACAAUUCCACCCAUCCCCACCAUAGACCAUUCUCUUGAAGCACCAUUAGCCACUGAUCCAUUCCACCACUCCGCCAUCUUUUCUUCUGGCUGCCCACGGGAACAGUGCCUGCACACAGUGUUCCAGCCUUUUUAACCAAUGAUUAUCAAAUCCUCUUUACUAUUUACUAUAUUUACUAAAAUAUGGGCCUCCUUUUCCCCAUCUGGCAAUUGGAUGGAUGCAACUAGAAAUAACAACUGCUAAACUGGGUGGAUGAGUCAACCGAACAGAAUCCAGAGGAGAAUAAGCGAAACUUAACUGAAGGUUAACCCGAUUCAACAACCCAAAGGGAAAGUACUUAUGAACAAGUUUACAUCAGAUUAGAUGAACAAUCUUAGCACUGUUGUGGAGCCAAUCCUCAGAUCUGGAUAGUUUGCACAGUUUUUAAACACGCAAAAGAAAAAUGUGCUGACUGCACUCCUCCCAAUUUUUCAUAUUCUUUGUGUCAUUAACAUGGUGGCGUUAAGUGCUGAGGUUUUUUCCAUGUUUGGAGUAGGGUUUGUUUUAGCUGUGUGUGUGAAAUCAAACCCAGAAUGCGUGUUUGAUUUCAGAUGCGAGUCAUGAGUUGGUCUGCAUCCAUCCACCUCUGCACCGUGUGUUCUACCGACAGCGGUACUGCUUUUCUGACAUAGAGGGUCAUGCAGCGGUCACUGGGUAAGCACAAGCCUACAUGAUCUGUCAGGAGCGCUGGGAGUGCUAGACUUCCAGCAAACUUGGAACAUGCGGUAGGUCAUCGUCCAGGACUACAGAGCCCAAGGGAAAGGAGGCAACGUGGAAUUAUAUUUCAGCCACAGACGCAUCGCUUGCACUAUGACGAAUGUUCAUGUCGUUUUGGCACUUUGAUGACUUCAUAAGAUUUGUAGUUUCUGUGUUCCCUAUGCAGCAUAGUAAUAUUCGUAUUCUUUGUAUAUCGUGUCACUAUUCGGAACAUAAAACUGAUCAUCGGUAAGAUCCCAGAAUAUGAUUAAACAUGGUAAUGUUGUCGUCUGGUGAAGUGAGAAUGACACAAUCAAAAUAUGUGUGAACUGCAUUUGUUUUGUCGGUUUCUUUGUAGUAAGAGACACAUCAAGCCUAAGGCUUGGGGGACGUACACCAUGUAUACCAAGAUCUUUCGCUAUUGAAUUUUCAGUUGAUUACUUCUUAGCAACAGCUCUUGACUCAACUUAUUCAAGAAUCAUGUCACAUUAAUUUCAAAGGAUGGUGCUUUGUAAAGUAAUGCAAGCCAAGGAUUUUGCUAAGAUUACCUCCUGUCAAGUUUGUUUAUGCUUACUAAAACUUAUUCCUGACAUUUUAAAUACUAAAUAAAAUAUUAAAAAUGCUA